rnacentral:rRNA from 1 species
UACGGAGGGUGCAAGCGCUAUCCGGAUUCACUGGGUUUAAAGGGUGCGUAGGUGGGCUAGUAAGUCCGUGGUGAAAUCUCUGAGCUUAACUCGGAAACUGCCGUGGAUACUAUUAGUCUUGAAUCUCGUGGAGGUAAGCGGAAUAUGUCAUGUAGCGGUGAAAUGCUUAGAUAUGACAUAGAACACCGAUAGCGAAGGCAGCUUGCUACACGAGUAUUGACACUGAGGCACGAAAGCGUGGGGAUCAAACAGG